CCCACUACGAUGGCCUCAUUUUUUUCUCAGAUGGUGGGUAUGGACGUAUCUGACAAGGAUGGAACUUCCUGUCAUCAGUUCUUGGCUUCCAACCCAAGGAUUGGCGUUAUCACCAAAAUGAACUGCUUACCAAAAGACGAGUUGCAGGUUCCCGAAAGGACAGACUCUAUCCCACAGAAUCAUCUCGUUUCUUGCUUUAUUGAUUGCCCCAUGCAACGUACAUGUAUGGGAAAGAGCUUCUGAGAUAUACCAGCCCAAGGAUGGCAACAGGACCUCUUGUGGUUUCCCGACGCCCUGCCUACACCUUUGAACAUAACCCCAUCGUCAACUCUUCUCGAAUUACCCAUCUCAGUGUUUCUUAGCCUGCACCAUGACUGAUACAGCCGGGCUGUAAACACGUCACUGACUCUACCUUGCCCAGAGGAGGAAGCAACAUCCCUCAGGAGGGGGGCAAGAUUCCACCCUUGCCACAUCUUGAGACACGCUUUCCGCACGCUGGCGGACGUGUGGUUUCCUGAACGCAAGGUGUUCUUUUUCUUCUUGGAGAUUCUGUAACUGAUGAUUUCUUUCCUGGCUUAGCUGCCUGGACAGUGUCUUUUCUUCCUUCAGGACUGUUCAAGGAUCACCUGUUGAUUUUUUCUGGCUUUCCUAGGCAGGAUGGGCUGCUUCCUCUCCUAUGCUCCCUUAUCACAUGAUAUGCAUGCCCAUUAAAGCUUUUUUCGUUGCUGUGAGUUUUUGUUCCUAUGUCUGCUUUCCAACCAGUCUUGGAAUCCUCUGAGUGUAUUCUGUUUUCCUUUGUUCUCCGAGUACCUGCUGUUGUCCCUGGUGGGCUUAAUAAACAUAUUUUGAAUGAC